rnacentral:rRNA from 1 species
UACGUAGGGGGCUAGCGUUGUCCGGAAUCAUUGGGCGUAAAGCGCGUGUAGGCGGCCCGGUAAGUCCGCUGUGAAAGUCGGGGGCUCAACCCUCGAAAGCCGGUGGAUACUGUCGGGCUCGAGUGCGGAAGAGGCGAGUGGAAUUCCUGGUGUAGCGGUGAAAUGCGCAGAUAUCAGGAGGAACACCGAUUGCGAAGGCAGCUCGCUGGGACGUUACUGACACUAAGGCGCGAAAGCGUGGGGAGCGAACAGG